rfam:Ornithorhynchus anatinus chromosome X1, whole genome shotgun sequence.
CCCCUCUCAGGGUCGCACCUGGAGAGUUUCCACAACUCUACCAGUCUCGACUACAGGAGGGAGAGUCAAGCAGAGGUAUACGCAUUCUACUCCUAGCUUGGGCAGUGGCUGGUGAGUGGAAGGCAACCUACUAGAAGU